rnacentral:rRNA from 1 species
AUUGAACGCUAGCGGCAGGCCUAACACCUGCAAGUAAAACGAGUGGCGGACGGGUGAGUAAUGUCUGCGAAACUGCCUGAUGGGUGGGGAUCACUACAGGAAACGGCAGCUAAUACCGCAUACCAACGGAUGUGACCAAAGGGGAUUAGCUAGCAGGUGGGGUAAAGGCUCCCCUAGGCAACGAUACCUAGCUGGUCUGAGAGGAUGACCAGCCACACUGGAACUGAGACACGGUCCAGACUCCUACGGGAGGCAGGAGUGGGGAAUAUUGCACAAUGGGCGCAAGCCUGAUGCAGCCAUGCCGCGUGUAUGAAGAAGGCCUUCGGGUUGUAAAGUACUUUCAGCGGGGAGGCGUUACCCGCAGAAGAAGCACCGGCUAACUCCGUGCCAGCAGCCGCGGUAAUA